AAAACAUUGUCUCAUGAAUAAGAUAUGAGAUAAUACCUGCCCAGUGACACAACGUUCAACGGCCGCGGUAUCCUAACCGUGCAAAGGUAGCAUAAUCAUUUGCCUAUUAAUUGUAGGCUAGAAUGAAGGGGUUAACGAAAUAAAAACUGUCUCAAUUAGUCACCUAAAAAUUACUCCCCACCUGAAGAAGAGUGGAUAAACUCGAAGGACAAGAAGACCCUAUAGAGCUUAAUUUUACUUAUAGAACAACACUAUAAAAAUAUUCGGUUGGGGCGACCCAGGGACAACAAUCACCCAAAAUAAUAAAGAUAUAUAAAUCAAACUACUGACCCUUUAAAGAUCACAAGAACAAGCUACCUUAGGGAUAACAGGCUAAUCCCACUCAAGAGUUCUUAUCAACAGUGGGGUUUGGCACCUCGAUGUUGGCUUAGGGUAUCUAUAUAGCGCAAAAGUUGUAUAAAGAUGGUUUGUUCAACCAGUAACUUCCCUACGUGAUC
rnacentral:rRNA from 1 species